GCCUUGGCUGUCCUGGAAC
rnacentral:piRNA from 1 species